GUAGUCUGCAAUCCGACUACAUGAAGCUGGAAUCGCUAGUAAUCGCGGAUCAGAAUGCCGCGGUGAAUACGUUCCCGGGUCUUGUACACACCGCCCGUCACACCAUGGGAGUCGGAAAUGCCCGAAGUCUGUGACCCAACCUACGGGAGGGAGCAGCCGAAGGCAGGUCGGAUGACUGGGGUGAAGUCGUAACAAGGUACC
rnacentral:rRNA from 1 species